GUUUCACCCUACAGAGAAAUCAAGGAGCCAGAUCCUUGGGUAGUACAAGGAUCCAGUAGUGGAUAUCUCCCAUAACUUUUUGUUGAAGGUUAAGUCAGUGAUAGGGAAGUCUGGCUGGAGACAGUUUGGAAAAUUACAGGACAUUAAUUCAUUGAUUGGACAGCUGAUUAUUUAUUUAUUUAUUUUUGGCUGCACAGCAUACAAGAUCCUAGUUCUCUGGCCAAGGAUGGAAGCCACAGUCCCCUGCAUUAGAAGCAUGGAGUCUCAACCACCGGACCACCAAGGAAGUCUCAGACAGCUGGUUAUUUUAGAGGAAGGAUUAUCCAGACUUCAUGAUGGGGAAACCCUAAAUUGAAAGCGUCUAGAUUCAAUCCUAAAGUGAGCAGUUAUACUGAGGAAGAUGAACUUUCCCUUCCAUCUGUGUGUGAAAUGUUGUUCCUCCAUAUGCAGACUAUCAGCCAAGAGAAUGGCAUUCUUUCCGGUUGUCAGGAUAUCAUUGGCCUUUUUCCUCUGAAGAAGAGUCAAUUCAUAGCCUAGUAUCAAGCAGAAAAAAAGAAAAAUAAAUACAUCAUGAUGUUUCUGUACAAUGGGGAGACUUGCUGUACUUCUGACAUGAGAAUGAAUGAGAUGAAGGCAUUCCAAGGAGCCUACUUCCCUCUGUAUCUUAUCAUCUUGUUUUGUUUUGGUAUGUUUGCUAUGUUUUUGUACACAGGCAAGCGUCUCUUUCAUUUACAACAGAAAACAUGACAUAAAUUAGGGGGGAAAUAAUGGAUAUAAUAAAACAUGAAGGUUGUGGAGAUCA
rnacentral:lncRNA from 1 species